UUAGAGUUUGAUCCUGGCUCAGGAUGAACGCUAGCGGGAGGCUUAAUACAUGCAAGUCGAACGGUAACAGUGGAGAACUUCGGUGAUCCAGCUGACGAGUGGCGCACGGGUGAGUAACGCGUACGCAACCUGCCUUCAAGAGCGGGAUAGCCCCGGGAAACUGGGAUUAAUACCGCAUAGCAUUAACGAUUCACCUGGAUUGUUAAUUAAAGCUAAGGCGCUUGAAGAUGGGCGUGCGUGCUAUUAGCUAGUUGGUGAGGUAACGGCUCACCAAGGCGACGAUAGCUAGGGGGCGUGAGAGCGUGACCCCCCACACGGGUACUGAGACACGGACCCGACUCCUACGGGAGGCAGCAGUAAGGAAUAUUGGGCAAUGGAGGCAACUCUGACCCAGCUAUCCCGCGUGCAGGAUGACGGCCCUACGGGUUGUAAACUGCUUUUACAUGGGAAGAAACGGACCUAUUGAUAGGUUUUUGACGGUACCAUGAGAAUAAGCACCGGCUAACUCCGUGCCAGCAGCCGCGGUAAUACGGAGGGUGGCAAGCGUUAUCCGGAAUCACUGGGGUUUAA
rnacentral:rRNA from 1 species